AUGCCAUUACCAUUCAAAAGAGAAAAACCAAAACUUCCUAAUAACCAGAUAUGUGCAAUACACCAUCUGAAAGGUCUUGAAAAGAGAUUCAAGAAAGAUCAGCAGUAUUAUGACUAUGUAAAAUUUAUGGAUGACAUAAUUUCACGUGGUGAUGCAGAGAAGGUUUCUGAAGAAGAGAUUGACAACAGUCCAGUUUGGUAUAUUCCACAUCAUGGAGUUUAUCAUCCACAAAAACCAGGGAAAAUACGUGUAGUAUUUGACUGUUCUGCCAAGUUUCAGGACACAUCCCUCAACGACCAUCUGCUUAAAGGUCCUGACUUAACCAAUGCUUUGUUAGGGGUUCUAUGCCAUUUCCGAAAAGGUCCCAUUGCAAUCAUGUGUGACAUCAAAAGAAUGUUCCACCAGUUUCAUGUGAAAAAGGAGGAUCAAGAUUACCUGCGAUUUUUAUGUUGGGAGAAUGUAAAUUUGGAGAUCACACCAUCAGUCUACAGAAUGGGAGUUCACUUGUUUGGAGCUGCCUCGUCUCCUGGUUGUUCUAACUUUGGUUUGAAACAUCUGGCAACUCAAGGACAUGGCCAGUAUAGUGAAGAUACCAUACGCUUCAUUCAAAGAAAUUUCUAUGAUGGUUUAAUAAGUGUCCAAACUGAGACAGAAGCCAUCCAGCUUAUUAAAGAAUCAAGAGAAUUUUGCUUCACUGGCAGGUUAAGACUCCAGAAGUUUGUUUCUAACAGUGAAAGAGUGAUGGCAACCAUCCCAGAAAAAGAACGUGCCACAGUCAAAGAUCUGGAUAUGGCUUUGAGUUUACCUCAAAUGGAAAGAGCUCUGGGAGUAGAGUGGUGCAUUACAUCUGACUCUUUCAAAUUCAGAGUUCAAGUAAAACCCAAUCCUGUAACAAGAAGGGGUGUGCUUUCUACCGUGGCCUCUGUGUAUGACCCCCUAGGGUUUAUGGCACCAUUUGUUUUUCUUUUGGGUAAACAAAUACUCCAGCAAAUGUGCAAAGAGAAGGUUAGUUGGGAUGAGGAAGUUCCAGAGAACUUGAGACCUCGGUGGGAGUCCUGGAUCAGAAAUUCACCCAAUCUGGCUGAAAUGGAAAUCAAGAGAGACUUCUUACCUUCAAAUUUUGGCGGGGCCAUAAUGUAUGAGCUCCACCAUUUUGCGGAUGCAAGUGUCACUGGAUACGGUGAAUGUUCUUACCUGCGAGCAAUUAACAAGUCUAAUAAAGUUCAUUGCUGUUUGGUAAUGGGAAAAGCAAGAGUUUCACCAACCAAAGUUACAACUAUACCAAUGCUAGAACUUACAGCAGCAGUUGUUGCAGUGCAAACAAGUGAUAUGCUUCGGAAUGAGUUAGAAAUUCAAGAUCUAAAGGCGUUCUUUUGGACCGAUUUUACAUUCGUUCUUGGCUAUAUAAACAAUGACGCCAGACGAUUUCAUGUGUUCAUAGCCAAUCGUAUUCAGAGAAUCAGAUCCAGUUCAAAGCCUGAACAAUGGGAUUAUGUUGCCUCCUAG
ensembl:lncRNA